rnacentral:lncRNA from 1 species
UGGUAACAGCUGGAAUCACUCGGUCGGGGGACGCGGUUCAGGCCCGCCGCGCUGGGGCCGUAUGCAAGGUCUCCGACCGUGGCGAACAAACUUCUCCAUGAUCAAUCUUAGUUGGCACAGGAAUGGAAGAAUCUGAAGGAAAUCAAGAUGGUUCAAAGCCUUAUCCAUAGGAAUCGAUAUAUUGAUAUCUCAGCUGAUACAAUAGUUUUGUG